UCUCCAGACAACGCUGUAUCUUGCUACAGCCGAGAGAAGCUUAGACCAAACAUAGAUUCUAUAAGAAUACUGAUUGAUUUUCAGCCCAGAUUGUAGAACUUGAAGCCUAUCAUGAUGGAAGUGGUCCUGACUAGACUGAGAGACUUCUCCUCUAAGGACGCCACCUUUGAUGCCUGUAAGUCAACUGGGCCCGUUGUGUCCGGCGACCCACGGACCAUUAGAGACCCCUGCCCAGAGGAAGGGCUCCGGAUGGCAGGCUGCAUGGCCGGAGUACAAAGCAGCAGCACCUACAAACUGGACAUUGAGAGUGCACUGGCCUGGCUGCGCAGGGAACUGAUGGAGAUGCGAUCUCAGGACCAGGCCUUGAUACGACAGCUGAUGGACCUUCACGCUGGAAUACAAGAGCUCAAGCUGGAGUGUGCCGAAGCAGAGGAGGAGGAAGAGGAGGAUGACGAGACAGAGGAGGAAGGGAGCUGGGACUUUGGUAGUGAGGCAGGGGGCAGUGGUAGUAGUGUUUACUCCAGCUCAGGGGAAGUGGGCUUUUCCAUAUCUUGCCUGUCCACUAGAAUGACUCCACCUCCUCUGGGGUCAUCUCUACCUAGAAGGACUUCCAGCAGAAGAAGCUCCUUGCCUUAA
rnacentral:lncRNA from 13 species